rnacentral:rRNA from 1 species
CCUACGGGGGGCAGCAGUGAGGAAUAUUGGUCAAUGGGCGGAAGCCUGAACCAGCCAAGUCGCGUGAGGGAUUAAGGCCCUGCGGGUCGUAAACCUCUUUUGCCGGGGAGCAGAGGUCCGGACGUGUCCGGGCCGGGAGAGUACCCGGAGAAAAAGCAUCGGCUAACUCCGUGCCAGCAGCCGCGGUAAUACGGAGGAUGCGAGCGUUAUCCGGAUUUAUUGGGUUUAAAGGGAGCGUAGAUGGGUUGUUAAGUCAGUUGUGAAAGUUUGCGGCUCAACCGUAAAAUUGCAAUUGAUACUGGCAG